GCGCUCUUAGUAUAGUGGUCAGUAUCCACGGUUGCCAUCCGUGGGACCCGGGUUCAAUUCCCGGAGGGCGCA
rnacentral:tRNA from 1 species